rnacentral:rRNA from 1 species
AGUGAACGCUGGCGGUAGGCCUAACACAUGCAAGUCGAACGGCAGCACAGUAAGAGCUUGCUCUUACGGGUGGCGAGUGGCGGACGGGUGAGGAAUACAUCGGAAUCUACUUUUUCGUGGGGGAUAACGUAGGGAAACUUACGCUAAUACCGCAUACGACCUACGGGUGAAAGCAGGGGAUCUUCGCACCUUGCGCGAUUGAAUGAGCCGAUGUCGGAUUAGCUAGUUGGCGGGGUAAAGGCCCACCAAGGCGACGAUCCGUAGCUGGUCUGAGAGGAUGAUCAGCCACACUGGAACUGAGACACGGUCCAGACUCCUACGGGAGGCAGCAGUGGGGAAUAUUGGACAAUGGGCGCAAGCCUGAUCCAGCCAUACCGCGUGGGUGAAGAAGGCCUUCGGGUUGUAAAGCCCUUUUGUUGGGAAAGAAAAGCAGCAGGUUAAUACCCCGAUGUUCUGACGGUACCCAAAGAAUAAGCACCGGCUAACUUCGUG